rnacentral:lncRNA from 1 species
GUGGGGUCGUCGGACGCCUGCGAGCCACGUAGUGGGCUUAAGGCUUCGUAAAGGAUGUUGUGGGAUUCUUCCAUUGGGAAUAAAAAUUGCGAGAUGUAAUUGAAUCGAGGGCGACGUUUGCGGACUAGGGUUUUAAUCUAGGGUUUAGGUUGGUGAAGGAGCUCAUGUUUUUUUUUUUUUUGGUUGAAAAUUGGAGUCGGAGUUGAAUUAAUUUGAGACUGAGAGGGAGAUGAAACGACGGUCAAUCUUCAUUUUGGUUGUCGUUUUUGUGAUGUUUACUUGUUUAGUUUCACAAAAAUUAAAAACUAAUUAAAGGGCUCCCGACUCCCAAUGGUUUAGGGUUUUUCAAUUUUGGAUUUUUAGAAAUUCGGCUAUUUUAAAGAAAUCGUUCUUCUUGUUGGCUGCACGGUAGAUUUUAUCUGGACGAGUUUUGAAAUUUAACUCCUCAAUAUUUGGGUGAUAUUUAAAUAAAUUAUUUGAUAACUAAAAUAUUUUUGAUAAUUCUUAUUUUAGAUUUUUUUAAGAUUGAGUUUGAUGCACUGCAUUGUAUUAUAUUAUAUUAAUUGUAUUGUGUUAUAAUAUAUUGUAUUAAAUUGUAAUGCAACACAAUGUUUGGUUUACUAUAGACUGCAUUAUAAAUAAUUGUAUAUUAAUAUUAAAAUUAACUUAAUAUUAUUUAAAUUUAUUAAUAUUUUAGUGUUAUAUUAUUAAUUUUUUAAAUUAAUUAUUAAAUAACUAAAUUUUCUAUAUAUUAAUUUUUAUAACAUUAGAAUAAUUUAAUAAUAUACUUUUAUCGAAUAAUAUAAUAUUAUAAUGUUAUAAUUAUAAAUAAAAUAAUAAUAUAAUAUAAAUAUAUAGUAUAAUAUAAACUACUAAUGUUACAAUUAUAAACAUAUAAUACCAUACAGCAUUAAAUUUUCAAUUUGAUUACAAAUUAGUUUUUAUUUAUUAAUGUCUAAUGUAAUUAUUUAAUUUAUAAGGAAAAUAUAAUUAUUUCCCACCAGUAUUUUAUAGUUUCCCCCAAACUUUAAUUCUCAUCACUUCUAUAUAAAAUAUUGGAGGGAACUGAGAAAACUAAUGUGCAUCCUUUAUAGAUAAAUGAGAGAGAUAGAAAUCUCUGGUGGCGACUUUAAGUAUAAGCAAACAAGGUACUCGCCUAAGGUCUGAUAUUUUGGGAAUGCCUCAUUUUUUUGAAUAUGCUCUUAAUAAUUCUCUAAUUAAUGAAGCUUUUUUUCUUAAAUUAUGUAUUAUAGGAAGCCUAUCUAUAUUUGUUAAUGUUAGUUAGGUUGGUGAAGGAGCUCAUGUUUUUUUUUUUUUUGGUUGAAAAUUGGAGUCGGAGUUGAAUUAAUUUGAGACUGAGAGGGAGAUGAAACGACGGUCAAUCUUCAUUUUGGUUGUCGUUUUUGUGAUGUUUACUUGUUUAGUUUCACAAAAAUUAAAAACUAAUUAAAGGGCUCCCGACUCCCAAUGGUUUAGGGUUUUUCAAUUUUGGAUUUUUAGAAAUUCGGCUAUUUUAAAGAAAUCGUUCUUCUUGUUGGCUGCACGGUAGAUUUUAU